UAAAUGGGGUUUUGGGUUAAUC
rnacentral:snRNA from 1 species